ensembl:snoRNA U3 Small nucleolar RNA U3
AAGACUAUACUUUCAGGGAUCAUUUCUAUAGUUUGUUACUAGAGAAGUUUCUCUGAGUGUGUAGAGUGCCCGAAACCAUGAGGAGGAGGUGCAGUGUCCCUUCCGGAGCAUGAAGCUGACUUUGGGUGUUGUAUCUGCAGCUGCCCUUUAUCAUUGAUGAUCGUUCUUCUCCUCUUUCUAGGGGAGGAAGAGGGAAGGGAUUCCGUCUGAGUGGU